AAUGCUGAUUUCUGAGUAUAGGUACAAAUACAUUUAUAAAUACAUAUACAUGUAUAUGUAUUUGUACCUAUACUCAGAAAUCAGUAUUUUUACUG
rnacentral:pre_miRNA from 1 species